AGAAACUUCACGCAGCAGGUGUGUUGCAUGUGCACCCUGGGAAAAGGUCCCAAUAAGUAUGCUAAGAAGGUUAUGAGAAUCUGUUUUCAGUAAAACAACCCAUUUCCAUUGCAUCCACCGAAAAGGUGCUAGAGACAGAAUAUUCCAAGGACCUCCAGAGCCUUUUAGAUCAACUACCUGUGAUCUCUCCAGAGAAGUGAGUCUACCGGGCCAUGGAACUCUAGAGCAGAACAUCAAAAAACCUGCCACCAUGUUGUAAGCUAUAAACAGUUCCUUGAGGAAGGAUGCAACUAUCAUGGCUUCAAAUUUGGGGGAUGACCACCAAAUGCAAU